UACUGCGAGUAUUAAAUGAAUGAUCGAAAUCUAAUUGUAUGAUUAAUUUAUUUAACUUCUUUUUAAUUUUCCUGUGAGAGGCUCCACUAGGUUUCUCAAUUCCAUUUCCAUGUCGUUGAUUUUUUGUGGUUUAAUCAAGCAUGACUUAUCUGCAGAUUCUGUUUUAUAGCUUGUCAUGGUAAGCAUUAAUUAAAAUACUAAAAGACAAUAGCUAAUUGCAUAUUUUUCCUCCAUUUAGAAUAUUGCUGUGCGGCUGUUUGAACAUUUAUAGCAGACAUUUCAAAACUUUUUAACAGAACUGCUCUAAUGGAACAUCAAAUACAACUUCAGAGUAAUUAAAAAAAGCUCUGAAAUGAUUAAAGUUAAAUUAUUCCUAUAGUCUCACAUAUAAGUUACUUUAGUAUUAAUUUCUAAUUGUUAGCAGAUGAUUAAAAGCAU